CUCAUUCUUUUUGCAUCUGGGCAGGUGGCCCCUUUCUGUGUUCUCCAGAGAACAGAAAUGUGACAGUUCUGGCUUCGGUCUGAAGAUGUGGGGGACCCCUUGUUGCAAGUGCCACUGCCCCCAAAUGGAGUGAGCCUUGUGGACCCUGCAGGCAAGUGGCCAUGUGGUGGGUUGGGAACACAGCCCAGCUGGGCCAAUGUCUCCAGGGGAAAGGCCAGAGGACCUUUUGGAAACAGCCUUCAUCUUCUCAUGCAGAACCUCUUGGAGCACUGCCCAGGGAAGGGGUGUGAGCACAGCCAACAGGACAUGGAACACACACACACACACACACACACACACACACACACGUCUCGACAUGACCCACCACUGAUUGGUCCCCAGCUUCAGCUCACCUCCCUCCCCACAGACCACCCACCUCCCACAGCCUCUUCCUCACCUUCCCCCACCUGAGUUACCUUUGGGUGAAAACCACUCGGAUGCUGGGUCAAGACAACCCUGUUUGCUCUCUGCUGACUCCUGGAAAGAAACUAGUCCUGCCAAAACCACCUUUAAAAGCCACAGCUCACUCUAUUGUCUUGGCCUUGAGCAUUCGAGCUCUAAGUCUGGCUGUCACCCCACUCCCACCCCUCACCCCUAGUGGGCAGCUGUGCUCCAGGCAGUGGCAAGGCUAGUUCUACAGCCCUUGUAGUAACCAGACACUGUUGUUUUUGUUCGGAUCCUAUGUGGCCUUCUGAUUUCUGAGCUGUAAGCGUAAGCCGGGCCACAGUCCUACUCAAACCAAAGUAUGUAUUUGGAUAGACAGCAAACACACUUAGCCAUUAAGAUUUGAAACUAGUACAGCUUUCAGUUCUGAGAACCACUUUACUCACAUCUUACUGUGGCUCGCCAAGAUGCUGCCUUCUAACGCUAAAGUUUGCUUUACUUUUAUUAUGGACAGUUUAUGUAUCGCUGGGGCAUGAACCCAGGGCCACACACAGACACACACACACACACACACACACACACACACACACACACACACGACACCAUGGCUGAGUGGCCUCCUCCAAGUUUUUAUCAACCAUGUGUCAGAGAAGUGAGAGGGACAGAGACAGAGAGACGGGGAGGAGAAAUGCCAAAGCACCUCUCUCUCCACCAUCCAUGGGAAUGUCUCUGGUCAUUGCUGCUCCUAGUACUCCCAUGUGGUGCCAGGGCUCAAACCCCGGCCCUCACACACAGUAAUAUGGGAGCUCAGUGGCUCCAGUGUUUCCCUGUCCAACACGUGCUUUAUUACAGCAGAACAUACUAGAACAUAAACCUUAAAGGCAGGUUUUUUAAAAAAAUGUUUGUUUUGGUUUUAGAUUUUAUUUAUUUAUUAACCAGAUAGAUAGAAAGAGAGAAAGAAAGAGAACCAGACAUAAUUCUGGUAUAUAUGCUACCGGAGAUCAAACUCAGGACCUCAUGCUCGAGAGUCAACCACUCUCUCCACUGCACUACUUCCCAGACUGCAAGGUAGGUUCUUUUUGAACAAGAUUUGGAUGAGACCUGAGAGGUGACUCAGCAGUGGAACCUCUGCCUUGCUUGCUUGGGGCCCUGGGUUCCAGCCUACCCGGCAUAAACAAGACUUGGUCAGAAACGAUUGUCUUUUCACAGUGGUGCACAGAAGCAGAAGGUGCCUUAAGAUGCAGGUUUUUUCAGAGGAGCGCUCACAGUGAACUGAACCAUGCUGGUUCAGCCCAGCACAGCACGGGAGAAGCCUUCGUGAACAUGAAGUGUUCUGAGAACCUGGCCUUGGUCAGUCUGUGCUGGGGAUAAUGGACAGAUGUUCCCUUCCAGAAGAGUUUUCUGCAGUUGGUCCUGGACACUUCAGGAAUGGAAGGGAAUUGCUGGAGACUGAAAGCCACGUUCUGAUAUGAUGUCCCUUGGUCAGCCUGCUCAAAGUCCAGCCUCAGCCGGAGCUUCACAGAGAGGCAUCCCCACCCUCCCUUCUCCUGCCCAGCUUGCUCUUAUCUCAGGCAGAAAGGUUCAGGGACAUCCUUGAUAUUGGGGUCAAAGUCCCAAACCAAGGUCAGCUGCGUGUAUGUGAGUGUGUGUGCGUGUGUCACCAUUUUAAAGUCAAGUCAGAUAAUCCCUGGUAGGCAAAGUUAUGUUUACAUGCAUGUGGGCACAAGUUCACUGAGCAAACAGAACUGUGUGACGGCCAUAGAAGAGCUUCCACUUUGGUCUUGAGUGGUGCCUUAACUUUGUGCAAGGCUCUGCCUGCGAGCAACUGGGUGAACAGAGUCCCAGAGCCCCCAGCUCAGACUACGUGGAGGGAAGGCGCUGUGCUCUCCAGAGCCAGCUUCUGUCACAAUUAUUCAAAUUGAGAGGGGAGGGGAUGUUAGAGAGGUAUAGAAAAAGAGAGACACUUGCAGACCUGCUUCAACCCUCAUGAAGCUUCCCCCCUUUAGGUGGGGUGUAGGCGCUUGAACCAGGAUCCUUGUGCACUGUAAUGUGUGUACUCAAUCAGGUGCAUCACCAUCCAUACCCCCCUUUUUAAAAAAUUGUGACAAAGGUUAUUAUUGGAGUUCAGUGUCUAUACCACUCACCCACUGCUCCUGGUGGCCAUUUUAUUUUAUUUUAUUGAUAGCAAAUAGAAAUUGAUAGGAGAGAGGGAAACAGAGGGAGAGAGAAACAGAUACCUGCAGUGCUGCUAUACCGCUAGUGAAGCUUCCGUCCUCUAAGUGGAGACUGGAGGCUCGAACCCAGAUGCUUGUGCAUGAUGACAUGUGUGCUUAUUGAGUGUACCACCACCCAGCCCACUCCCCCUCCUCGUAAUCUAAGUGAUAGCGGGCCUGCUUCUGAUGAAUUCUGACUCAGAGCUGCUGAAACCAGGAAGUCCUCCAUCACUGCUUUGGCCUUGGUUGUGUGCCUCAGGGAGAAAGCUGAUUUGUCCCUGUCAAUCACAGCAGCAAAUGUACGGCCCACGGAAGAAAGGCUCUGCCCUCCAUUUGAGACCUCUCUUGCACUAGCCCCAGCUUCCACCAGCCUUCUAGAAAGAAAAGACCUACCUUUGUGAACCUAUGCUCUAUCUCAGGGGACCUGGACUAUAUCUAGGUUUGGGGACUUUAUUGGGGAGUGGAACACCUGGAAUGGAAUUAGAGAAUACUAUGAAAGGAAAGGUCUCAUGCGAGUGAUGAAGCUGAAGGGUUGUCAUUCCACACCUGAAGUCUCUGGACACAGUCUGAAGUGAAGCAUGCUGGGGUGGCACUCGUUGGCGUUGAUUUAGGUUGUGAUCCCCAGAUGCAAUAUUAUUUGAUUUGAAUUGAGAGCGGCAUGCAGAAAAGUGGGCCCCACCCUAAGGUUCCAGGACUGGGGGAAAUAUAGGCUCUAUAGUGGA